rnacentral:rRNA from 1 species
AUUGAACGCUGGCGGCAUGCCUUACACAUGCAAGUCGAACGGCAGCACGGGAGCACUCCUGGUGGCGAGUGGCGAACGGGUGAGUAAUAUAUCGGAACGUGCCCAGUCGUGGGGGAUAACGUAGCGAAAGCUACGCUAAUACCGCAUACGAUCUAUGGAUGAAAGCGGGGGAUCGCAAGACCUCGCGCGAUUGGAGCGGCCGAUAGCAGAUUAGGUAGUUGGUGAGGUAAAGGCUCACCAAGCCGACGAUCUGUAGCUGGUCUGAGAGGACGACCAGCCACACUGGGACUGAGACACGGACCAGACUCCUACGGGAGGCAGCAGUGGGGAAUGUUGGACAAUGUGCGCAAGCCUGAUCCAGCAAUGCCGCGUGCAGGAUGAAGGCCUUCGGGUUGUAAACUGCUUUUGUACGGAGCGAAAAGGCUUCCACUAAUACUGGGGGCUCAUGACGGUACCGUAAGAAUAAGCACCGGCUAACUACGUGCCAGCAGCCGCAGUAAAAC